UGAUACGUACUGUGCGAACGUUAUUCGGAAUUACUGGGCUUAAAGGGUGUGUAGGCGGCUGAUUAAGUAGGGUGUGAAAGGCUCCGGCCUAACCGGAGCAUUGCGCUCUAAACUGAUCGGCUUGAGUGAGAUAGGGGUGUGCGGAACUUCCAGUGGAGCGGUGAAAUGUGUUGAUAUUGGAAGGAACGCCGGUGGCGAAAGCGGCACACUGGGUCUUAACUGACGCUGAGACACGAAAGCCAGGGGAGCGAACGGGAUUAGAUACCCCGGUAGUCCUGGCUGUAAACGAUGAGCACUAGUUGGGAGGGGCUUCGGCCCAUCCGAACGCAGAGAAAUCAUUAAGUGCUCCGCCUGGGGAGUAUGGUCGCAAGGCUGAAACUUAAAUGAAUUGACGG
rnacentral:rRNA from 1 species